rnacentral:lncRNA from 1 species
CAUGCCUUCUGCAGUGUUCUAUGAGUCAUAUGGUUCAUCCUGAUUUAGGCUGUAAGCAGAUUGCAUCAUGGCGCGGAUACCAGGAGGUGGGGAUCAUGGGGGUCCAUCCUAGAGGCUGACCCAAGCAGAGGAAAGGAGAUAAUUACUGGAACAAUGUCUCCCCAUAGAGGAACAUCUGAGGCUGCGCAAUCUCUAAGGAAAAGAGGUUUAUUUGGCUCACUGCUCUGUGGGCUGUACAAGAAGCAUGGCACCAGCAUCUGCUCCUGGUGAGAGGCUCAGGCUGCUUCCACUCAUGGCAGAAGCUUGCUCUGGCUAACAACCACUAUCAUCAAAGUUGUCUGAGGAAGACCUCCUGUUGCUGUGACUGACGGGACUCUUGGUGGAAGCCCUAUUCCCAUGUGCCCAUGGCUGCAGCUCCCCAAGGAAGCAGGACAUUGUUGGAUUCUCUAAGAAGCUCAGAGGAAGUUACUUCUCACUGUGGUGCCAUAUGGGAUUUGAAGUCGUUCUACUCAUGCUCUGUUUUUCAA